rnacentral:misc_RNA from 1 species
UCUCCGUAGGUGAACUUGCGGAGGGAUCAUUACUGCGUGAGGGACUCCCCGGCCCGACCUCCAACCCUUUGUGAACCAAACUUGUUGCUUCGGGGGCAACCCUGCCGCUUCGGCGGUGCGGCGCCCCCGGAGGCCAUUAAACACUGCAUCAUUGCGUCGGAGUUAAAGUAAAUUAAACAAAACUUUCAACAACGGAUCUCUUGGUUCCAGCAUCGAUGAAGAACGCAGC